GAAAUGAGACACUCCACUUUUAUUUUUUGGCUCGCGCGCUCACGUUUCUUCGCUCGCUCGCUCUCUUUUUCUUCGCUCGCUGGCUCAUCGACGCAUCGCUACGGACACUGGAUUGGGCAGAGGGGGUCGCUUGGGGCGGAGGAGAGGACGGCGGCGGCGGCGCGGGGGAAGAAGGGAAGAGGUACGAGCGGCGACGGCUGCGGCGCAGACGGUCGGCGGGGCGGAGCUCGGUCGGCGGCAAGCCAUUUUUGGAUUGGAGGUGUGGGUGCGGGGGUGGUCAGGGAGGGAGGAGAAGGAGCUGGAGGGAGGAUCGACGGAGGCGGAGGGGAGGCGCCAGCUGGAGGAGCAACGGCCACUACGAGGUCGCGGAACCGGGCCAGCAGAGACAGAGAACGGCACGAGAGAGUACGACGACACGGAGGACCUGCUGCGAGCGCACGGAGCCUACGUGGGGGAAGAGAGGGCUCGAGGUCUAGGUACCGACGUCGCCGCUCUUCCAGUGGUGUCCGUGACCCCAGCUACGUUUCGUAGCCGCUACCACAGUAACAGGAGCGCACUAAGUAGUCUAGGUUGGAGUGGGGGCGCGGCCGAAAACUGCCUCGACGAGUGGUUCCUCCUGGAGCAGCGGAUGCAGCGUAGACUCACAUUCGGGUUCCUCUUGACCUCUACUUUAACGUUGUGGACCAUGGUUCUGGUACGACCCUAAAAGACUAGUACAAUCCUCGAAACAGUUAGGACAUACCUGCUGGAGAAACUCACCUUUACUAAGCCUAUGUUGUAGUGCCUGUCCUUUUGUCAACCUGUAGUCGGUACUUUUCCAAGCUCCAUAAAGUGCCUCAAAGGAUGGUCGAUAAGUAGAUCUCGUGAUAGGAACACUUUUAAAGAGUAAAAGAGGAGGUAGAUAACUAUCCUCUGCGUGAGCUGUUCCCACAUUCAUCAGAGUGGUCAGGUUAAGUCUCAAUGUUCUUUCAAGAUUUAGACUAUUAAAAUUUGAACACAUCGUACAGGACAAACAAUACACGGACAACUGGUCCCGGACCGUAACUACGGUCGACGAGUAGACAGGCUUCUGUUAAACCAUGAGUAUCCAGGUUAUCACCAAGAAACAAAGCACCAAUAGGUAGGGACCUUGUUGCUCUAUACAGAAUAUACUGUAUUUUCUGAGCUACUGUGAUGUAACACCCAUACAGGAACAUACUGAGUUUACUAAAUUGAGAACAUGUAAAUAUACUAGUGACACACAACAUAGCGAUUGGAAAAGAAAUAUAAUUCUAGACACUCCCCCCUUCUAUGUACCAGAGCUAUGACGUAAGCUACAUCUACUUCGACCAGACAGACUCUACGCCGUCACGGUCCCCUGUAAACGAAGACGAUAAAAGCCCUUGACGUAGGAGAAAAGAUACGGUUAAUAUAAACGUACAACAGUACAAAGGUACGGCCACGAUUAACGUGUAGCACACACUUGAAAGAAUAAACAAAAAGAGUCUCUUAAUACUAUAUUACGUUGCUGGUCUUUUGUAGUUUUGUAAAAGUUUUCUAUAACAAACGAAGAAGUACAAAGACCUACUUCUUUGACUUCGACGUUAUUUCUUCUAGGGAUGACAACUAUUAUGCUUUUCUUAGUCCGACACCGCCCACCAACAACACGUGUUGGAAAAGGACUGGGUUGUUGAAAGCACUUUUAGUCGGAUUUUAGUGACACGUCAAGUAACACUUCUUUUAUUUUUUUUUAUGAUGACUUGGCUGUCUCAAAACUUCGACCGAAGCGGCGACGACAUGACAUGUAAACCAAUAAACUAAAAGGAUUAACUUAGAAAAACCACGGUCAAUGAAGACCGUACCUCUAACACGUGUUCAAUUUUAAGUCGAAUCGCCCGUUACAUUUGAUUUUAAAUCAACGUUUUAUAUUAAAAUGCGUUAGAAGAUUUUCGUUGUACGCGAGAAUAGAUCUAUCGACUAGGUUGUACAAAAGUAAGAAAAGACGUAACCCAGUCACACUUUUCAAAGAACUGAGGUGUUGGUAGAAAGGCAAGACAACUUUCUGCUCUCCUCAUACGGUACGAAUUACACUUAGUCGUACUCGCUUAACAAAAGGAUUAGUGCAUAAAAGGAACACCAUUAAAAAAUUAACUUUACGGUACGAAUUACGCUUAGUCGUACUCGCUUAACAAAAGGAUUAACACAUAAAAGGAACAAUAUUAAAAAAUUGACUUAGGGAACACUAUAAAUCCAAGGUUUUGAUAAUGAAGUAGCCGAGAAAGGAUUACACGCCAUAAGUGAGACAUAGCUACCCUUUGAAUUUGAACACUUCCUAGGAAUAGUCGACAAUUUCUCUAAGAACACCUCCUUUUUACACGCGAAGUGAUAAAGGUCCAUAAUAUCUGCGAAACUACAGAAACUCCUUCGACUCCGGUUGUUCCGACCUUCAUACUAUUACGAAGUUAGCUAUUGGUUUAUUUCAAGAUGUUCUGUCUCCCAAUUGGGUAAUAAGUAGUCGAUUCGAGGAAUAAUGUUCGACGUUUACCAAGAAGAGCGACUUAAGACUAUAUCUUUAUAAAGAGGACUCUUGUAUUCCCUAUGUAAAUAGAACUUGUCUAAGGGACUCCCAACACAUUAAUAUCCUCUCGUGUAUGGUAGUGGUUAGAGAAGUGUACGGAAACCAAGAUACUUCAACUAGCAAGUGGAGUUCUCUAGUCGAUUCGAAAUCGUGUUGCUCCCUAUUUUAUUCUAGUUCUCAAGAACAACUGUUGAUUUAUUCUAGUCCUCAACUAACCUGACGUCUGUACAAGGACCUAACACCUUCCGCACUUAAACAACAAGUCCAUAAAAAACUCAAUUACGAAACACGCCGUGUAGUAAGGUAAACGUUGGACUUCAUGAUAACGUUGAACCAUGGCUCACGUCUGAAACAGUUUAAUGUGUGUUUUUUAAGGUCGUAUUGUUACCUAGAAGCGUAGAAGUAUCGCUCGACAAACUUUUGUUGUAGUCACCUGGCUACUAAAAAAAACCUUUCUUGUGUUACAGUCCUAGAAACUGUAUUAUCUUAAAACGACCUCAAACUCCGAUAUGAUAACUACUCCAUAGGACCUCUCGACGUUCAACGAAAAGAACAAAACUUAGUACAAGAACAACAAAAGAGGAACGACUCUCACAUAAUACACGCAUCACAUGAGUAGUACUAGAGACUUCGAUACGAAUGUCAACGUAGUAACAAAAGAACUUUUAACUGGGAGAUUUAAGUACAAGAGAAUAUUGGCUAGGACAUUUUAGAAGGAACAUAAAAUUACUUCAAAGUGUGGUACGGGAAACUCUAUUGUUCACCCUGUAAUGUUCCGAAUAAUCAACAAUGACUAACACCAAUUCGAGGCAGGUAAAACAACCUCCGGUCGGUAUACGGUU
rnacentral:rRNA from 1 species